GACGAACGCUGGCGGCGUGCUUAACACAUGCAAGUCGAACGGACAGGCCUCUUUCUGGGUGUACUCGCGUGGCGAACGGGUGAGUAACACGUGCGUACCCUGCCCUUGUCUUUGGGAUAACUUCAGUCAACUGGGGCUAAUACCGGCUAGGAGCUCCUGCUGCCUGGUGGGGGUUGGAAAGUUUCGGCGUUUGGGGAUUGCCUCGCGGCGUAUCGGCUUGUUGUUGGGGUGGUGGCUUACCAAGGCCUUGCCGGGUAGCCGGCCUGUGACGGUGACCGGCCACAUUGGGACUGAGGUACGGCACAGACUCCUACGGGAGGCAGCAGUGGGGAAGAUUGCACAAUGGGUGGAGGGCUGAUGCAGCAACGCCGUGUGCGGGAUGACGGCCUUCGGGUUGUAAACCGAUUUCGCUCAUGACGAAGCUUGGUGUGACGGUAGUGGGUAAAGAAGCACCGGCUAACUACGUG
rnacentral:rRNA from 1 species